rnacentral:lncRNA from 1 species
CGGAAUUGCGGUGUGGAACAUGGAUGUUAGCCGAGAAGAGGCUCCUCAGUGGUUAGAAAGCGAUUCCUGUCAGAAGUGUGAGCAGCCCUUCUUCUGGAAUAUAAAGCAGAUGUGGGACACGAAGACACUGGGGCUGAGGCAGGAAGUGUGGGCAGGCCGUCUGUGGGAAGUGCAGCAGCAAGAGGUCCAGCUACCCUGUCAUGGGCUUUGAGUUCCAGGUUCGAGUUUGUGAUUCCUGUUAUGACUCCAUCAAAGAUGAGGACCGCACUUCUCUAGCAACGUUUCAUGAAGGAAAACAUAACAUUUCCCAUAUGUCCAUGGACAUUGCGAGGGGACUGAUGGUGACCUGUGGGACAGAUCGUGUUGUAAAGAUAUGGGAUAUGACUCCUGUGGUGGGCUGCAGCCUGGCAACUGGAUUUUCUCCACACUGAUCCUGGAGCUGGAUGUAGUCAUGUGAGCACGUGGAGAAAACAGUGUGACACCACCCCAUAGAUCACAUCUGCUCUGGACCUGAGGCGGACACACCAUGGACAAGACACAUACAUUUCAUCUUGCUGUUCAGUCGACAAGGGAAGCUGCGGCUGCAGAAAUGGUACACCACGCUCCCUGACAAAGAGAGGAAGAAGAUCACCCGGGAGAUCAUCCAGACCGUCCUCUC